CGGAGGGUCCAAGCGUUAUCCGGAAUCAUUGAGUUUAAAGGGUCCGUAGGCGGUUUAGUAAGUCAGUGGUGAAAGCCCAUCGCUCAACGGUGGAACGGCCAUUGAUACUGCUAAACUUGAAUUAUUGGGAAGUAACUAGAAUAUGUAGUGUAGCGGUGAAAUGCUUAGAGAUUACAUGGAAUACCAAUUGCGAAGGCAGGUUACUACCAAUAUAUUGACGCUGAUGGACGAAAGCGUGGGGAGCGAACAGGAUUAGAUACCCUGGUAGUCCACGCCGUAAACGAUGGAUACUAGCUGUUCGGAGCAAUCUGAGUGGCUAAGCGAAAGUGAUAAGUAUCCCACCUGGGGAGUACGUUCGCAAGAAUG
rnacentral:rRNA from 1 species